rnacentral:rRNA from 1 species
CUGUGGGGCCCUACCACUGUGAAACACGUCCUGAUCUAUCUGAUUCUCAGAAGUUAAGUAGGGUUUCAGGCCUGAGGUAGUACUUGGACAGGAGGCUACAGGGAAAUACCACGUUGCCUUGUAAG